rnacentral:snRNA from 1 species
AUCACUUCUCGGCCUUUUGGCUAAGAUCAAGUGUAGUAAAGUGAUGAAAAAUAAAUAUUUUAUAAAUAAAAGAAUAAACAGAAGUGAAUCAAUAGUCUCCAUCCUUUUCUUUGAUGCAAGAUCUUCCAACCCACCAUGUUUAGUUAACCACCA